UACGUAGGAGGCAAGCGUUGUCCGGAGUUACUGGGCGUAAAGCGUGUGUAGGCGGUCGGAUGCGUCCGGUGUGAAAUCUCCCGGCUUACCUGGGAGGGGGCAUCGGAUACGGUCGGACUUGAGGGCAUCAGAGGCCAGUAGAACUCCCGGUGGACCAGUGAAAUGGGUAGAGAUCCGGAGGAACACCAAAGGCGAAGGCAGUGUCCUGGGGAGUACCUGACGCUCAGGUGCGAAAGCCAGGGGAGCGAACGGG
rnacentral:rRNA from 1 species